rnacentral:rRNA from 1 species
CAACAACGAAGAGUUUGAUCCUGGCUCAGGAUGAACGCUAGCGACAGGCUUAACACAUGCAAGUCGAGGGGCAGCGGGGGCAGUAGCAAU